rnacentral:tRNA from 1 species
AGUCCUGAAGUAUAUAAAUUUACGUAUGAUUGCAAAUCAUAAGAAGGAGAAAGGACCUCCCUGGGCUU